CUCUUUCAUUUUUUUCUACUCACAGAUACUCAUCCUCACGCACACCAAUCCUCCACUGUUUUUUCGAUUUUCACUACACACACUCACACACCACCAGAGAUUUGAGAGAGUGAAGGGAGAUUGAGAGAAAAAUUGAUCGAAAUUGGAGAAGAAAACAACGAGAGAAGAUUGAACAGAGGAAAAAAUGAGCAAAAACAGAGAAGGUUGAGAGAAGCAGCUCCGGCGAAGUUUCACCGGAAUCGCCGCCCAUCAUGGAAUCCGUCUGCUUCCUUUGAAAAUCUGGUCAAAACCAGCGACCAACUGCUCAAAUCCCAUAAAAGAAAUGGCUCCAUCCCCCCUGAAAAUUCGAUAAUCAGUGACCACACAUUAACGCCGGUGAGACUUUUGCUGAAAAUUCAUUAGUACCGCGGCAGCUUGAUUUUCCUCUGUUUUGGGUUAAUUUUUGAGCAAAAACUGGCCGGAAACUUCACUGGGUUUGUCUGCGGGAUUUUGGGGUUCCAGUUCGAGGUUCGUCUAUGGUUCAUUGGUCCGCGAGGCUUCUGCCGUCGUUGAAAUCAGUUCAAAUUAGUCGAAUAAAAGCCCCAAUUUAAGGUCAAUCUCUUUAUCUUAUUCUUAGUCAAUUUUUAUUAUUGUGUGUGGUUGAUUGUUAUCGUCUCGACUUUCUCUUAUCUUAUGCGUGAUGGGAAUAAUGAAUGUCGAAUUGUAUUGAUUGUGGGUGACUGAAAUGUUAUCGUUGAAUUGUUAUACUGGAUCAAUGGUUGAGAAUGAUUUGGGAUGGGAAUUGAAAGUGAAUGAAGUAAAUAUAAUCGACUGUUGAU
rnacentral:lncRNA from 1 species